rnacentral:rRNA from 1 species
GAUGAACGCUAGCGGCAGGCCUAAUACAUGCAAGUCGAACGGGAAUGAAGAGCUUGCUUUUCAUGAGAGUGGCGCACGGGUGCGUAACGCGUAUGCAACCUACCUAUAACAGGGGGAUAG